AGCAGCCGCGGUAAUUCCAGCUCCAAUAGCGUAUAUUAAAGUUGUUGCAGUUAAAAAGCUCGUAGUUGAAUUUCGGGAUCAAUAUAUCGGUCGUGCCUUUGGUACGUACUGGUAUCAUUGAUUUCUCCUUUCUGACGAAUCAUGAUGUCAUUAAUUUGGUGUUAUGAGGAGUUAGGACUGUUACUUUGAAAAAAUUAGAGUGUUUAAAGCAGGCAUUAGCUUGAAUACAUUAGCAUGGAAUAAUGAAAUAGGACGUUUGACCCUAUUUUGUUGGUUUUUAGGAUCGACGUAAUGAUUAAUAGGGAUAGUUGGGGGCAUUAGUAUUCAAUUGUCAGAGGUGAAAUUCUUGGAUUUAUUGAAGACUAACUACUGCGAAAGCAUUUGCCAAGGAUGUUUUCAUUAAUCAAGAACGAAAGUUAGGGGAUCGAAGACGAUCAGAUACCGUCGUAGCCUUAACCAUAAACUAUGCCGACUAGGGAUCGGAUGAUGUUAAUUUUAUAAUGACUCAUUCGGCGCCUUA
rnacentral:rRNA from 1 species